AUCUUUAUUAUAUAUUGGAAUCUUUAAAAGGGAGAUCUAUUGUAUUCACAAACUCAAAAGAUUGCACGCGCAGAAUUGCUGCAAUUCUUCGAAUUUUAUCUCCUCCUAAUACUGGAAGUUUUUCUGUUUGCAUUCUACAUGCCGACAUGCUUCAAAAACAUCGAUUCCGUAAUAUUGAAAGAUUCCGUGCUGCAAGGGGCCCUUCCGUUUUGGUCGCAACGGACGUAGCUUCGCGCGGACUGGAUAUUGAGGAUAUCGAAAAUGUCAUACACUAUCAAGUAUCGACUAUGACUGAAGUGUAUGUCCAUCGUAGUGGAAGAACGGCGAGGGCUGAUAAACCUGGGUGUACUAUUACUAUCGUUGGUUACGAUGAGCAUAAAAGAUUUCUGAAUAUUCAACAUCAGCUCAAUAGAGGUU